AUAGUACGUCAUAGGACAAAAUGACAUUUGACAUUCCAAGUAAAGACUACAGCGCUAUAAAUAUAAUUACAAAACAUUUCAUGUCUCACAAUGGCUUUACUUUAUUUACAUGUGUGAAAGUUAAAGUUAAGGUGCUUCGUGCUUGGUGUGUCAUAGAGUCUAUGACAUCUCACUGAUGACUAAUAAAUGCAUGUCUGUAGGUAUUUCGUAGACAUUUUAUCUAUCUACUUACUAUGCAGUCAUAAAGGUUAGGGUUAACAACGCAACCUACUUUUACACUUUCAAUUUGGCAGAAUGUAGAAAACAUUGCACAAUAUUAGUGGAGAACAGACAUAAACAGAAGGACAAAUCCAUAUCUUUAUUCAUUGUAAUGUUUUCUUUCCAAUCACCAGACCAACCCAUUUAUGACUGUGCGGACAGGAUGAGCACCACCACAGCCAAAACUCAACUUCAGACAACUUGCCACACUACCAUGAAAACCUACUCUCAGACGACAAACCAUUCUUUACAAACUAGUCAAACUGAUCAAGAUCUUUUUUUCAGCAGUGCAUGGACAGGGGUGCCACUCUGGUACACACUGUUGCGUUGGUGUUGUUUUGCAUUCUUACUGAUAUUCCUGUGCAUAGUUCUUAGAUGUACAAAAGUGAUGCCCAAGAAAAAUGCCAAGAAUAAGAGGAAGAAAAGGCAGGCUUAUUCUCAAAGAAUGCACCAUUUGGCUCACUGACAAGCAUUAUGCAAUGGCAGUUCUUUGGAAGUUGUAUCAGCUUCAGUGAUACUGGUUUUAUUGGUUUCCUGGCAUUAGUAUGGGUUGUAAUAUACACCAGGGUGUCUUCAUUCAGCAUUCAUCAACACUUCAUUGUUUAUUUCCAAUGAUUGCUUCAUACACACACAAGUCAUCUCAGACCAUUGCUUGUUUUAGUGUAUUAGGCUUUCCCAUUCAGGUGAAAAAAAAGGGGAUGAUCUGUCACCACUUUUGCUGAAAUGUGUACUGUAAAAUCUUUGUUAUAAAAGUGUAUACAAAUUUUUAAUUAAAUAUUUUUAAUAAAGUGAAAUAACAACAGAACCUUUUUACAACCAUCUGGGAUUGAUGACCAUGAAUAAUGACAAAGUGGAAACAAGGCAGGAACAUACUGACAAUGUGAAUUUACAUUUAUCAUAUCAAUCAAAUGCAGUUAGCCAGAGUGGUUGUUGGAUGUGGAACAAAGGUACUUUCAUCAGAACGCUAGUAACUCACCCACAUGUUUCAACACUAAUUGCUUUCAC
rnacentral:lncRNA from 1 species